UACGAAGGGGGCUAGCGUUGCUCGGAAUCACUGGGCGUAAAGCGCACGUAGGCGGUCUUUUAAGUCGGGGGUGAAAUCCUGGAGCUCAACUCCAGAACUGCCUUCGAUACUGGAAGACUUGAGUCCGGGAGAGGUGAGUGGAACUGCGAGUGUAGAGGUGAAAUUCGUAGAUAUUCGCAAGAACACCAGUGGCGAAGGCGGCUCACUGGCCCGGUACUGACGCUGAGGUGCGAAAGCGUGGGGGAGCAAACAGGG
rnacentral:rRNA from 1 species